GCCCCGGUAGCUCAGUUGGAUAGAGCAAUGGCCUUCUAAGCCGAGGGGCGCCCGUUCGAAUCGGGCCCGGGGUA
rnacentral:tRNA from 1 species